CAAUUUGAAAAACAAAAAAAAAAUAAUGGUUAAAUAUACCACAGUUUCUUUUUAACUAAUUUUUUUAUUUAUUUUUUUGAUAACAAUUUAACUAAUUUGUUUCUAUUUUCUUUUCUGACAAUUUUUAAUUUUUAAUUUUGAUAGAUUUGACAAAUUAUUUCUAUUUUCUAUAUAAUAUAUUUGGAUAUAAACCAAAAAUAAAAAAAGUAAAUAUUUAAUACAUAGUAUGUACAAAGUAAAAAAAAAGUAAAUAUUUAAUUAGUCAAAAAAAGGCAAAUAUUUAAGAAAAAAAUAUAAAUAGCAGAAUAUUUAUCACCCGUAAUUAUAGUUAGAGUAUUUAAUUAGCUGACGUGUGUAAUAAAUUAUUACUCUUUAUGAAUAAUAAAGAAAACCGCUAUUACUUGUAGAGGAAGUAGAAAACCUACCAUAUGUGUACCAAAAAAAAGAAAGACUAAAAGAAUUUCACCCAAAACGAAUGUUUGCCCGUUUCUCAUGUUAUCUCACCUCAAUUCAUACUAGCCAGAGAGGUUCCAACUCAUGCAAUUUGAUCACCAAAUCACUAAAAUAAGAAGCAUAUUAAAUUUUCUUUCAUAUAAGGGUUUCUAGAUAAAUGUAAAGUCAUGAUCAUUAUCAUCAUAUGUUGAUGAUGAUGUUGAUGAAUGAUGACUAGCCAAUGCGCCUAAAAUUAAAUCCUACUGUACGAGUCACAUGGUAAGAUAUUUUUUCUACCCUAAAAAAUCUAAUAAAAAUAUUAAAUUUAAUUAAUUUUUUUUUGAAUAUGAAUUUUUCUUAAUAAUUUUUUGCUGAACAACAAAAGAAAUGCUAAACUCAAAUUAUUUUACGAUAUAAUACUGGGGACAAAUUAGUGAAUCGGUAAUAUUAUCACAUAUAAAAGUAUUGGAAAUUACCACAAUGAAUUGAUUCAAAUGGUAAGGAUCUUAGUCCCAUUAAGCAUAUGAUC
rnacentral:lncRNA from 1 species